AUACGGGGGGUGCAAGCGUUGUCGGGAAUCAUUGGGCGUAAAGGGUUCGUAGGUGGAAUUAUAAGUCUGGUGUGAAAGCCCACAGCUCAACUGUGGAACUGCACUGGAUACUGUUUUUCUUGAGUUAUAGAGGGGUUUGUGGAAUUUCUGGUGUAGAGGUGAAAUUUGUAGAGAUCAGAAAGAACACCGGUGGCGAAGGCGACAAACUGGCUAUUAACUGACACUGAGGAACGAAAGCGUGGGGAGCGAACAGGAUUAGAUACCCUAGUAGUCC
rnacentral:rRNA from 1 species